GUCCACGCCGUAAACGAUGAGUGCUAGAUGUUUCUGGUAUUGACCCCGGAGGCGUCGUAGCUAACGCGUUAAGCACUCCGCCUGGGGAGUACGGCCGCAAGGCUAAAACUCAAAGGAAUUGACGGGGGCCCCGCACAAGCGGUGGAGCAUGUGGUUCAAUUCGACGCAACGCGAAGAACCUUACCUGGGUUGGAACCCCCCGGAACUUCCAGAGAUGGAGGGGUGCCCGCAAGGGAAUCUGGUGUCCAGGUGCUGCAUGGCUGUCGU
rnacentral:rRNA from 1 species